rnacentral:rRNA from 1 species
GUGGGGAAUAUUGCGCAAUGGGGGAAACCCUGACGCAGCGACGCCGUGUGAGGGAAGAAGGCUUUCGGGUCGUAAACCUCUGUCAGAAAGGAAGAACCUCCCAAGUCCGAAUAGGGCUUGGGACUGACGGUACUUUCAAAGGAAGCACCGGCUAACUCCGUGCCAGCAGCCGCGGUACUACGGAGGGUGCAAGCGUUAAUCGGAAUCACUGGGCGUAAAGCGCGCGUAGGCCGCUCUGUAAGUCGGACGUGAAAGCCCUCGGCUCAACCGGGGAACUGCGUUCGAUACUGCGAGGCUUGAGUCCUGGAGAGGGUGGCGGAAUUCCGGGUGUAGGAGUGAAAUCCGUAGAUAUCCGGAGGAACACCGGUGGCGAAGGCGGCCACCUGGACAGGUACUGACGCUGAGGCGCGAAAGCGUGGGGAGCAAACAGGAUUAGAUACCCCAGUAGUCC